rnacentral:misc_RNA from 1 species
UGACCUGCGGAGGGAUCAUUACAGCAGUUGCAAAACUCCCUAAACCAUUGUGAACGUUACCUAUACCGUUGCUUCGGCGGGCGGCCCCGGGGUUUACCCCCCGGGCGCCCCUGGGCCCCACCGCGGGCGCCCGCCGGAGGUCACCAAACUCUUGAUAAUUUAUGGCCUCUCUGAGUCUGCUGUACUGAAUAAGUCAAAACUUUCAACAACGGAUCUCUUGGUUCUGGCAUCGAUGAAGAACGCAGCGAAAUGCGAUAAGUAAUGUGAAUUGCAGAAUUCAGUGAAUCAUCGAAUCUUUGAACGCACAUUGCGCCCGCCAGCAUUCUGGCGGGCAUGCCCGUUCGAGCGUCAUUUCAACCAUCAAGCCCCCGGGCUUGUGUUGGGGACCUGCGGCUGCCGCAGGCCCUGAAAAGCAGUGGCGGGCUCGCUGUCGCACCGAGCGUAGUAGCAUACAUCUCGUUCUGGUCGCGCCGCGGGUUCCGG